rnacentral:rRNA from 1 species
UACGUAGGGCGCAAGCGUUGUCCGGAAUUAUUGGGCGUAAAGAGCUCGUAGGCGGUGCGUCACGUCGUUCGUGAAAACCUGCAGCUUAACUGUGGGCGUGCGGUCGAUACGGGCAUCACUGGAGUUCGGCAGGGGAGACUGGAAUUCCUGGUGUAGCGGUGAAAUGCGCAGAUAUCAGGAGGAACACCGGUGGCGAAGGCGGGUCUCUGGGCCGAUACUGACGCUGAGGAGCGAAAGCGUGGGGAGCAAACAGG